rnacentral:rRNA from 1 species
GAUGAACGCUGGCGGCGUGCCUAAUACAUGCAAGUCGAGCGAACAGACGAGGAGCUUGCUCCUCUGACGUUAGCGGCGGACGGGUGAGUAACACGUGGAUACCCUACCUAUAAGACUGGGAUAACUUCGGGAAACCGGAGCUAAUACCGUAUAAUAUAUUGAACCGCAUGGUUCAAUAGUGAAAGACGGUUUUGCUGUCACUUAUAGAUGGAUCCGCGCCGCAUUAUCUAGUUGGUAAGGUAACGGCUUACGAAGGCAACGAUGCGUAGCCGACCUGAGAGGGUGAUCGGCAACACUGGAACUGAGACACGGUCCAGACUCCUACGGGAGGCAGCAGUAGGGAAUCUUCCGCAAUGGGCGAAAGCUUGACGGAGCAACGCCGCGUGAGUGAUGAAGGUCUUCGGAUCGUAAAACUCUGUUAUUAGGGAAGAACAAUUGUGUAAGUAACUAUGCACGUCUUGACGGUACCUAAUCAGAAAGCCACGGCUAACUACGUG